CCCUUAGAUGUUCUGGGCCGCACGCGCGCUACACUGAUGCAUGCAACGAGUUCUAUCCUUGGCCGGAAGGCCUGGGUAAUCUGUGAACGUGCAUCGCGAUAGGGAUAGAUUAUUGCAAUUAUUAAUCUUGAACGAGGAAUUCCUAGUAAACGCAAGUCAUCAGCUUGCAUUGAUUACGUCCCUGCCCUUUGUACACACCGCCCGUCGCACCUACCGAUCGAAGGUAAUGAUGAGCCCUCAGGAUUGUGGCCUCGUCGCGUCAGCGUCUUGGCUGCGAGAAUCUGUGCAAAUCCCUACCUUUAGAGGAAGGUGAAGUCGUAACA
rnacentral:rRNA from 1 species